rnacentral:misc_RNA from 1 species
AAACAAACUAACCAGGCAAUAAUCAGAAAAUCAAGAGGGAUCAAUGGUGCGGCGGUCAUCUCCCGCAGCAGCCCUGGGUUGCUGGAACUGACUCAGCUGUCCAAUACUUGCAGAGACAUUCAUGGCCAGAAGGCUUGCAUCGUAGUUGUUGGCAGUAUCAAAGCUCCUCAUCAUCUGCUGCUGAUCCCUGGGAAAAAAUUGGUGGUGGUAGUGGUGGUCCCUUCCCCCACCGCCAGCUCCGAUUAGAUUGAUCCCAAUGUUCUGAGGAUGGUGGUGGUGAU